GACGAACGCUGACGGCGUGCUUAACACAUGCAAGUCGAACGGUGAAGCGCCUUCCUUUUUGGUGGGUGUGGAUGAGUGGCGAACGGGUGAGUAACACGUGAGUAACCUGCCCCCUUCUUCUGGAUAACCGCAUGAAAGUGUGGCUAAUACGGGAUAUUCUGGGUCUGUCGCAUGAUGGGUCUGGGAAAGAUAUUGUUUCGGUGGGGGAUGGGCUCGCGGCCUAUCAGCUUGUUGGUGGGGUGAUGGCCUACCAAGGCGGUGACGGGUAGCCGGCCUGAGAGGGUGGACGGUCACACUGGGGCUGAGACACGGCCCAGACUCCUACGGGAGGCAGCAGUGGGGAAUAUUGCACGAUGGGCGCAAGGCUGAUGCAGCGACGCCGCGUGAGGGAUGGAGGCCUUCGGGUUGUGAACCUCUUUCGCCAGUGAAGCAGGCCUGCCUCGUUUGUGGGUGGGUUGACGGUAGCUGGAUAAGAAGCGCCGGCUAACUACGUG
rnacentral:rRNA from 1 species